GACGAACGCUGGCGGCGUGCUUAACACAUGCAAGUCGAACGGAAAGGCCCUGCUUUUGUGGGGUGCUCGAGUGGCGAACGGGUGAGUAACACGUGAGUAACCUGCCCUUUACUUUGGGGUAACUUCAGGAAACUGGGGCUAAUACCGGAUAGGAGCUCCUGCUGCAUGGUGGGGGUUGGAAAGUUUCGGCGGUUGGGGAUGGACUCGCGGCUUAUCAGCUUGUUGGUGGGGUAGUGGCUUACCAAGGCUUUGACGGGUAGCCGGCCUGAGAGGGUGACCGGCCACAUUGGGACUGAGAUACGGCCCAGACUCCUACGGGAGGCAGCAGUGGGGAAUAUUGCACAAUGGGCGGAAGCCUGAUGCAGCAACGCCGCGUGCGGGAUGACGGCCUUCGGGUUGUAAACCGCUUUCGCCUGUGACGAAGCGUGAGUGACGGUAAUGGGUAAAGAGGCACCGGCUAACUACGUG
rnacentral:rRNA from 1 species